UAGGGAAUCUUCCACAAUGGACGCAAGUCUGAUGGAGCAACGCCGCGUGAGUGAAGAAGGUCUUCGGAUCGUAAAACUCUGUUGUUAGAGAAGAACACGAGUGAGAGUAACUGCUCAUUCGAUGACGGUAUCUAACCAGCAAGUCACGGCUAACUACGCGCCAG
rnacentral:rRNA from 1 species